AGCGGCGGACGGGUGAGUAACACGUGGGUAACCGGCCCAAGAGACUGGGAUAACACCUGGAAACAGAUGCUAAUACCGGAUAACAACACUAGACGCAUGUCUAGAGUUUGAAAGAUGGUUCUGCUAUCACUCUUGGAUGGACCUGCGGUGCAUUAGCUAGUUGGUAAGGUAACGGCUUACCAAGGCAAUGAUGCAUAGCCGAGUUGAGAGACUGAUCGGCCACAUUGGGACUGAGACACGGCCCAAACUCCUACGGGAGGCAGCAGUAGGGAAUCUUCCACAAUGGACGAAAGUCUGAUGGAGCAACACCGCGUGAGUGAAGAAGGGUUUCGGCUCGUAAAGCUCUGUUGGUAGUGAAGAAAGAUAGAGGUAGUAACUGGCCUUUAUUUGACGGUAAUUACUUAGAGAGUCACGGCUAACUACGUGCCAGCAGCCGCGGUAAUACGUAGGUGGCAAGCGUUGUCCGGAUUUAUUGGGCGUAAAGCGAGUGCAGGCGGUUCAAUAAGUCUGAUGUGAAAGCCUUCGGCUCAACCGGAGAAUUGCAUCAGAAACUGUUGAACUUGAGUGCAGAAGAGGAGAGUGGAACUCCAUGUGUAGCGGUGGAACGCGUAGAUAUAUGGAAGAACACCAGUGGCGAAGGCGGCUCUCUGGUCUGCGACUGACGCUGAGGCUCGAAAGCAUGGGUAGCGAACAGGAUUAGAUACCCUGGUAGUCCAUGCCGUAAACGAUGAGUGCUAAGUGU
rnacentral:rRNA from 1 species